rnacentral:tRNA from 1 species
UGGCUCAGAGGUUAAAGCGUCUGCCUGCAAUGCAGGAGACCUGGGUUUGAUUCCUGG